rnacentral:rRNA from 1 species
GAUGAACGCUAGCGGCAGGCCUAAUACAUGCAAGUCGAACGAUAUCAUGCAGCUUGCUGGAUGAGAAAGUGGCGCACGGGUGCGUAACGCGUAUGCAACCUACCUUUAUCAGGGGGAUAGCCCGGAGAAAUCCGGAUUAAUACCGCAUAAAAUCACAGGAUGGCAUUAUCCAAUGAUCAAACAUUUAUGGGAUAAAGAUGGGCAUGCGUGUCAUUAGCUAGUUGGCGGGGUAACGGCCCACCAAGGCGACGAUGACUAGGGGAUCUGAGAGGAUGGCCCCCCACACUGAUACUAGGACACGGACCAGACUCCGACGGGGGCGAGCAGUAAGGAAUAUUGGUCAAUGGGCGGAAGCCUGAACCAGCCUUGCCGCGUGCAGUAAGACUGCCCUAUGGGUUGUAAACUGCUUUAUCCGGGAAUAAACCUGCUUACGUGUAAGUAGCUGAAUGUACCGGAAGAAUAAGGAUCGGCUAACUCCGUGCCAGCCGCCGCUGUAA